rnacentral:rRNA from 1 species
UAUCCUACGGGACGCAGCAGCCGCGGUAAUACGUAGGGGGCAAGCGUUAUCCGGAUUUACUGGGUGUAAAGGGAGCGUAGACGGCAGUGCAAGUCUGAAGUGAAAGGCAAGGGCUCAACCCUUGGACUGCUUUGGAAACUGUGCUGCUCGAGUGUCGGAGAGGCAAGUGGAAUUCCUAGUGUAGCGGUGAAAUGCGUAGAUAUUAGGAGGAACACCAGUGGCGAAGGCGGCUUGCUGGACGAUGACUGACGUUGAGGCUCGAAAGCGUGGGGAGCAAACAGGAUUAGAAACCCCAGUAGUCCCUC